AAAUAAUCAUUUAGUUGUGCGGGAGCCACGGAGCAUACUGCAUGCGUUCAACAUAGCCUUGUGUUGGCGUGCUGCUUCUUUUCUGAAAUACACUGAGUUGAAUCGUCGAGAAUCACUUGCCCUUGCUUCAGAUGGAUUGAAUUAUGAAUGCAAUGAGGCUCCAUCAUAGGCAGGCUUAUAGGUUCGUAGUAUCGUUAGGACGGGCAUCUUACUAUAACAAUAUAAGACACAUUUUGUAUAUAUAACACAUGUGCAUAUAUAAGUUAUCGAGAUAUUAUA